CUGGCUCAGGAUGAACGCUAGCGGCAGGCCUAAUACAUGCAAGUCGAACGGUGUAGCAAUACAUAGUGGCGCACGGGUGCGUAACACGUAUGCAACC
rnacentral:rRNA from 1 species